rnacentral:rRNA from 1 species
UACGGAGGGUGCAAGCGUUGUUCGGAAUUAUUGGGCGUAAAGAGCGUGUAGGCGGUUGGAUAAGUCAGGUGUGAAAUCCCGAGGCUCAACCUCGGAACUGCGCCUGAAACUGUUUAACUAGAGUACGGGAGAGGUAGGUGGAAUUCCUGGUGUAGAGGUGAAAUUCGUAGAUAUCAGGAGGAACACCGGUGGCGAAAGCGACCUACUGGACCGAUACUGACGCUGAGACGCGAAAGCGUGGGGAGCAAACAGGAUUAGAUACCCUCGUA